rnacentral:rRNA from 1 species
UACAGAGGGUGCAAGCGUUAUUCGGAAUUACUGGGCGUAAAGCGCGCGUAGGCGGCUUGUCAAGUCGGGUGUGAAAUCCCCGGGCUUAACCUGGGAGCUGCAUUCGAAACUGUCUUGCUAGAGUAUGGGAGAGGGAGGUGGAAUUUCAGGUGUAGCGGUGAAAUGCGUAGAUAUCUGAAGGAACAUCAGUGGCGAAAGCGACCUCCUGGACCAAUACUGACGCUCAGGUGCGAAAGCGUGGGGAGCAAACAGG